AGGUGAUGACUCCAGCAGCGGUGGUGUCAGGGGUUCCUCCCCACAAGGGCUGCAUCUAAACCUCCUGUUGGGAAUUACAAUCCCUACCGUCCUGGUUCUGGCUGUGGUGCUUUAUCUGCUGGGAAAGAAAGUUGUGUCUCUACCAAGGGAUCAAAGGGAACGAGCCCAGCGUGACACCAGCAACACUCCUGCAGAUCAUAUUGAAU